rnacentral:tRNA from 1 species
GGGUCUGUAGCUCAGUUGGUUAGAGCAGGGGACUCAUAAUCCCUUGGUCGCUGGUUCGAAUCCAGCCAGACCCACCA